CACUUUGCAAUAAUCUGAGCACUGCGCCCAGAAAAAUACGCUUUGCUAUACAGACAAACGGCCAUGUUGGAGAGAUCUAAAAUCGAAAAUACUAUGUAAAUAAUCCAUUACCUUUGAUUCUCUUCAUCAGAUGUCACUUCCAGGAAUCCCAGGUCCAUAACGAAUGUAGUUUUGUUCAAAAAAGCUCAUCAUUUAUGUCCAAAAAGCUCUGUGUUCUUAGCACAUGAUCUAAGCCAGCCGGACUUCUCGUCAUGAACGAGGGGAAAAAAUAUAUUUACGUUCGUUCAAACAUGUCAAACGUUGUAUAGCAUAAAUCAUUAGUGCCUUUUUUAACCAGAACAUGAAUAAUAUUCUAGGUGGACGAAUGCAUUCUCUUUUAUAACGUAUUGGAACGAGGGUACCCAACAUGAACUCGCGCGCCAGAGUCUAAUCGGCCAUCACCGUUCCAAAGCUCUUGUUCGGUCAGAUCUCACAGUAAAAGACUCAAAACACUUUGUAAAGGCUGGUGACAUCUAGAGGAAGCAAUAGGAAGUGCCAAAACAUUAAUCAACCCCUGUGUGUUUCAAUGGCAUAGGCUUAAAGGUAAUUCAACACAUCAGGUAUCCACUUCCUGUCAGAAAAUGUCUCAGGGUUUUGCCUGCCAAAUGAGUUCUGUUAUGCUCACAGACACCAUUUAAAACAGUUUUAGAAACUUUAGGGUGUUUUCUAUCCAUAUAUAAUAAGUAUAUGCAUAUUCUAGUUACUGGGUAGGAUUAGUAACCAGAUUAAAUCGGGUACGUUUUUUUAUCCCGCCGUGAAAAUACUGCCCCCUAGCCCCAACAGGUUAACUAAGUAAUCGGCACGCCCCCAGGGACACAGACAUGACCUGGGGGCAGACAUGACCAUGUGACAGACAUGACCUGGGGACCUGGGGGCACAGACAUGACCAUGUGACAGCCUUUUCUACGUUCAGUAUAUAAACCCCCACCCAGGGUUUCAUUCCCCAAGACCAGGCCUCCACUCCAUUACGAGUUGGCUAAUAGGUUUGACCAUGCAUCCCUCUACUGAACUUUAACCAUACCACGUGGUUAAACUAUUAGACUAUCGAUACAGAAUAAGAACAAGUCUUUGAUAUUAAUUACUAAUCUGCAGCUAGGAAUUCGGUAUCAUUGAACGCGAAGACCAACGAAACAUCCAUUCUAUAACGACAUGACCGAAUGUCGCUUUGAAAGAUCCAUUCUAACCUAGAGAGAGAACGCGAGGACAAAACUCUCCAACAGAACUUUUCAACAAAGAUCCCGACGACACACUGAGCGUAAAUAUAUAUAUAUAUAUAUAUAUAUAUAUAUAUAUAUAUAUAUAUAGAUUGCAAUUGUUCCCGAAUGAGUGAGCGUUCAUGUGCAAAGGUGUAGCAUUUCAAUUGUAUAAUAUUCAAUUCUGAACCACCCCUUUUGUUUAACAAGCCGCCAUGCCGGUUUAGCCCACUAGGGCACAUUCCUCUACCAUUUCUUUGUAACGAUAUCUACUGUUUUGUAUGCAUUUCUGUUGAAUUAUUUAGUUUAGUAAAUAAAUGAUUUUAAGACAGUUGAUGUAUGGAUGACUCAGAGUGAAGACUGGGUUCGUGUAGAUAACCAACAAUUUACGACGUUUGGAAUGAGAUUGACGUGAGGUAAAUAAUAAGUCAUUUAAUCAGAAGACUCAAUGAUCAGAAAUUAUGAUAUCUCAGUUAUAUUAGGAAAAUUAUAACUUUAACCUGAAUAUUUUCCUUGGUAAUAAUAAUCAUAGUAGUUGUCGAGGGUGCAACAAGUCAGUAACACAAGAGUAAGUGUCAGUUGGCUUUUUCAUAGCCGAUCUCAGAGAGUAUCUCUACCGCUCCUGCUGUCUCUAGAGAGUUGAAAACAGCAGGUCUGGGACAGGUAGCACGUCCGGUGAAUAGGUCAGGGUUCCAGCAGGUCUGGGAUAGGUAGCACAUCUGGUGAACAGGUUAGGGUUCCAUAGCUGCAGGCAGAACAGUUGGAACUGGAGCAGCAGCACAGCCAGGUGAACUGGGGACAGCAAGGAGUCAUCAAGCCAGGUAGUCCUGAGGCAUGGUCCUAGGGCU
rnacentral:lncRNA from 1 species